rnacentral:rRNA from 1 species
AUUGAACGCUGGCGGCAUGCCUUACACAUGCAAGUCGAAACGGCAGCACGGGAGCAAUCCUGGUGGCGAGUGGCGAACGGGUGAGUAAUACAUCGGAACGUGUCCUGUAGUGGGGGCUAGCCCGGCGAAAGCCGGAUUAAUACCGCAUACGAUCUGUGGAUGAAAGCGGGGGAUCUUCGGACCUCGCGCUACAGGGGCGC